GCUCCUGCCUGUGAUUGGCAAGUCUAAAAAAAAAAAAAAAGCUCUGACUUGGGAUUCUCUCUUCUGAGCAAGACAAUUGCAAUCUGCUUCAAGCUUUAGAGCUAAUGGUACCACCCACUGAGUCUCCUUUUGGACCUAUGAAUAGGGACAAUUCUCACAGUUUUAAAGUGGCCCCAUCAUGUCAAGCUACUAGAGGCAGCUGGGCCACACCCUCCUGGGAGGGACUUCUGAAUUCCCCAGGGCUGUUUUCAUCUGACUUUUGGAAAGUUUCCUGCAUCCAGGUUCCAGCCUUGAGUUCCUGCCUGACUUUCUGGAUUAUAAGAUGAAAUGGAGGAACAAGAUGAACCAGAGAUCUGGCAAGAGGCAUCUAAUAGUACCAUCGAGGACAGUGGCUCCCUACAGACCCUUAGCCCACCUCUGAUACAUUCACGCUCAUGGUGUUUUACCACAGAUGCCUCACACUUCACAAACCUGUCAAUGCCAAUACAUUUCAUCUUGAACUAUG
rnacentral:lncRNA from 1 species